CAGGAGCUGCUCAAUCUGCAAUAUGAAACAAGCGUAUGAGAACAUUACAGAGACGCACGGUAACUAAAACCACAUAAUAAUGCAGCUGACAAUUGGCCAUGUAGUGAUUGAUCCGACCAGUUUUAUAUGUUGAGACUAUAGGAAGUUGUAUGUGAAUACUUGUUAUUUUGUUUUAUUGUUAAGUCUAUUGUAAUCAUGUAGCUAGGAAAACAGACAAGUGACAAUUAUUUGUAUUGACAUCAAGAAAAGUAAAUUAUUUAUAACUUUAAAUCUCAUUUAUUUACCAAUAAUAAAAUGUAUAAGAAUGAAAAAAUAAAAAUAUAGUAUAGUAAUGUAACAUAUUUUUUGGAAAAGGGAUAAACCAAAUUUUUAUUUUAUUUGUGAUGUUUUAUUUCUGUGUGGCUGUACAUUACAAAUCUUUGAAUUUUACCUAAUGAAACAAUAAUGUACAAAUUCUUAUAACACAGGGAAACAUUCUGUCAAUAAUUAUGUAUGUAGGAAUAUAGUCCUUUCCUUUUCUUUUCUAAUCUGUUGUUUUUUUUUCAUUUGUUUCCAAAUAAAUAUUCAUACUCA